rnacentral:rRNA from 1 species
UGGCGGACGGGUGAGUAACGCGUAGGAAUCUGCCUAGCAGCGGGGGACAACCUGGAGAAAUCCAGGCUAAUACCGCAUACGCCCUACGGGGGAAAGACGGGGAUCUUCGGACCUGUCACUGUUAGAUGAGCCUGCGUUAGAUUAGCUUGUUGGUGGGGUAAUGGCCUACCAAGGCGACGAUCUAUAACUGGUCUGAGAGGAUGACCAGUCACACUGGGACUGAGACACGGCCCAGACUCCUACGGGAGGCAGCAGUGGGGAAUAUUGGACAAUGGGCGCAAGCCUGAUCCAGCAAUGCAGCGUGUGUGAAGAAGGCCUUAGGGUUGUAAAGCACUUUCAAUUGGGAAGAAAAGCCUUAUGGUUAAUACCCGUGAGUCUUGACGGUACCAAUACAAGAAGCACCGGCUAACUCCGUGCCAGCAGCCGCGGUAAU